GACGAACGCUGGCGGCGUGCUUAACACAUGCAAGUCGAACGGAAAGGCCCUGCUUUUGUGGGGUGCUCGAGUGGCGAACGGGUGAGUAACACGUGAGUAACCUGCCCUUGACUUUGGGAUAACUUCAGGAAACUGGGGCUAAUACCGGAUAGGAGCUCCUGCUGCAUGGUGGGGGUUGGAAAGUUUCGGCGGUUGGGGAUGGACUCGCGGCUUAUCAGCUUGUUGGUGGGGUAGUGGCUUACCAAGGCUUUGACGGGUAGCCGGCCUGAGAGGGGGACCGGGCACAAUGGGACUGAGGUACGGCCCAGACUCCUACGGGGGGCAGCAGUGGGGAAUAUUGCACAAUGGGCGGAAGCCUGAUGCAGCAACGCCGCGUGCGGGAUGACGGCCUUCGGGUUGUAAACCGCUUUCGCCUGUGACGAAGCGUGAGUGACGGUAAUGGGUAAAGAAGCACCGGCUAACUACGUG
rnacentral:rRNA from 1 species